CUCGGUGCUGUUAGCCCAGCUGGACGCACAGAGACAGUCGGCGAGCCUAAUUUCUCAAAAGACAGAGGAAGCUGCUCCUGUUUUUCACAUAACAGAGCUUCCAUAGCCUGUUUGUAGAGGACAGCAGCUCUUAGCCCAAAGUUAACAUCCAGAAGCUGUAGACCAUGACUACAGACACUUCUCCUGACUCCAAGUGUCCUAUUUGCUCCAACAAACUGGACAAUGUUGCCCGCCC